GCGCGAAAACUUUACAAUGCGAGCAAUCGUGAUAAGGAAACCCUGAGUGCCUGUCAAUGCGGGCUGUUCUGGUGUCUAACACACACCAGGAGAAAGGGCGGGGCAAGACCGGCGCCAGCCGCCGCGGUAAUACCGGCUGCUCGAGUGAUAGCCACUUUUACUGGGCUUAAAGCGUUCGUAGCUUGGUCGUUAAGUCUCUGGGGAAAUCUUUUGGCUCAACCAAAAGGCGUCUCAGGGAAACUGACGAUCUUGGAACCGGGAGAGGUAAGACGUACUUCGGGGGUAGGAGUGAAAUCUUGUAAUCCCCGAGGGACGACCGAUGGCGAAGGCAUCUUACCAGAGCGGCUUCGACAGUGAGGGACGAAAGCUGGGGGAGCAAACCGGAUUAGAUACCCGGGUAGUCCCAGCCGUAAACGAUGUGCGUUAGGUGUGUCAGUGACCACGAGUCGCUGAGGUGCCGAAGGGAAACCGUGAAACGCACCGCCUGGGAAGUACGGUCGCAAGGCUGAAACU
rnacentral:rRNA from 1 species